AAUUCCUUUCACCACCUCCUUCAUACACUGGAGGAAAGGGAUCAUCAAGCAGAGUUAUCAGCACAGACGUGGAGACCUGGCAAUGACCUCGACUGCAGUGGAAAUUGGCCCAGCCAAGGAAUCAAUGGCCCUCAAAUCCAGGGGCUACAGGGAAAUGACAGGAGAGAGUCCUGGAGUAGUCAGCCUCCUUGUAAACCCAGCAACCUUAGUAACACCCCCUUCCCUUCCACGGGCCUCUCCUCCUUCUCCAUCUCUCCCCAUUUCUGUACUCUUGAUUUCUGUGCUUGCAUCUCCAAUACAUGACCUGUUCUCAAGUCUUUAACCCAUACUUUGUUUUGGGGGGACCUAACUUUAGACAAUAAAAUUACAUGGUUCUACGAGAGGGUAUGACAAGGGGAUUGAACCUGGUUGGACUUCCUAAGGCCUC
rnacentral:lncRNA from 1 species